rnacentral:rRNA from 1 species
UACGUAGGGUGCAAGCAUUAAUCGGAUUUAUUGGGCGUAAAGGGCGCGUAGGCGGAAAUGCCAGUCAGAUGUGAAAGCCCGGGGCUCAACCCCGGAACAGCAUUUGAAACUACAUUUCUAGAGGGUAGGCGGAGAAAACGGAAUUCCACAAGUAGCGGUGAAAUGCGUAGAUAUGUGGAAGAACACCAGUGGCGAAGGCGGUUUUCUAGCUUAUACCUGACGCUGAGGCGCGAAAGCAAGGGGAGCAAACAGG